rnacentral:rRNA from 1 species
GAUGAACGCUGGCGGCGUGCCUAAUACAUGCAAGUCGAGCGAAUGGAUUAAGAGCUUGCUCUUAUGAAGUUAGCGGCGGACGGGUGAGUAACACGUGGGUAACCUGCCCAUAAGACUGGGAUAACUCCGGGAAACCGGGGCUAAUACCGGAUAACACUUUGAACCGCAUGGUUCGAAAUUGAAAGGCGGCUUCGGCUGUAACUUAUGGAUGGACCCGGGUCGCAUUAGCUAGUUGGGGAGGUAACGGCCCACCAAGGCAACGAUGCGUAGCCGACCUGAGAGGGUGAUCGGCCACACUGGGACUGAGACACGGCCCAGACUCCUACGGGAGGCAGCAGUAGGGAAUCUUCCGCAAUGGACGAAAGUCUGACGGAGCAACGCCGCGUGAGUGAUGAAGGCUUUCGGGUCGUAAAACUCUGUUGUUAGGGAAGAACAAGUGCUAGUUGAAUAAGCUGGCACCUUGACGGUACCUAACCAGAAAGCCACGGCUAACUACGUGCCAGCAGCCGCCGUAA